AACCCAGUUACCUGGGCAAUACGAUACCUCUUAGUUAAACUGGUUGUCAGACUCUCUGGCUUAUUAGCUAGCCAUUACUACCCGAAACGACUGUCAAAGAUGUGCUAAUAGCAGCUUAAGCUGAGACCCACCAUUUAAUGUGCCUUCCGAAACACGGAGAACUUCGGUAUGUCAUAGAUGGUCACCCUUCCACCUUUCGACCGUUUCAAAUGUAGCUUCAUCUGAGAUUGAUCAACAGGUAGACUUGUAUAUAAGGCACAUUUACAUUUAAAUAGUUUUACGAUUUCUUGUAUUGUGAUUUUGGUUAAUGAGUCACUAUGAUAAUACCGAAAAGGUAUUAUAUAAUCAUAGCAAUUCCUAUUAAACGCGUAUAAAAUUAACUGCAUUUUAACGACAAAGUUAUUUAUAAAUUGUAAAUAUAAAUGAUUGAAUCAUUAAAGCCUUUUUAAGAACCUGCGAGACGUGUUGUGUGAUCACUUGUAAUUGUGUUUUCAAAUCGACAACAUGAGGGUAACAAUUGUUAUAUUGUGUGUAUUUUUAAUUGGCCUGCAAAUGUCAGUUGCUUGUCCACCUGGCCAGUACAAUCCGGGUCCUGACUGUGCUUUUGAAGAGAUAUGCCCUCUACCAGCCCACGCGAGCAGAAUGCACUACUGCGACUGCUGGUGCAUCGCUGGCACUGUUCGGGACACAGCCAAUCACAAAUGUGUGAAGAUAGAAGAUUGUACUGUGUAUAGUUUUCCAUAAAAUCAUUUUUGUAUUUUAUUAGUACCAAGGCAUCCUCCGGACCCCCUCGAUACUCGAGACUCGAUAAAAAUAAAGCAAUAUUCAAAAAUGCAAACAACAUGAUUUUCCGCGAAAAAUAAUCUUAGAAUUAGCUUCCCGUGCCACACCUGCAUACAUAAUAAGGAUCAGCAGUUUAUAAUUUUGCAGCAGUUUUAAAAAAAAAGAGUAAUUCACUAAAGCUUGCUAGAAAAUAGUUGUUUUUAAUGACUCCAGAACUACGUAAUAAAAUACAAAGAACACCAGAUUUAGAACAAGUGAGGAUCGAACCUGUGCAUACUGGGUUUAGUGUGAUGCUUACAUAGGCCUCAGUAAAAUAAGAUCGACCUUUCCCGAAAUACUCUGUUUACUAGUAAUACUUUACUACUUAUAAGAACUACCGAAUAAAUGCAUUUACCAAGUUGAA